CAACCGAAAGAGCAUACCCGGUGAAAGCCGGCGACGCAAAACUAAAGGGGCUAACGCGUAAUCCGCUAUGCCAGCCAGGUGCCGAA
rnacentral:ncRNA from 1 species